UUGGAGGGCAAGUCUGGUGCCAGCAGCCGCGGUAAUUCCAGCUCCAAUAGCGUAUAUUAAAGUUGUUGCAGUUAAAAAGCUCGUAGUUGAAUUUCGGGAUCAAGGAAUCGGUCAUGCCUUGGUAUGUACUGGUUUUAUUGGUUCUCACCUUCUAAAGAACCAUAAUGUCAUUUAUUUGAUGUUAUGGGGAAUUAGGACUGUUACCUUGAAAAAAUUAGAGUGUUUAAAGCAAGCUUACGCUUGAAUACAUUAGCAUGGAAUAAUGAAAUAGGACAUCAGAUUCUAUUUUGUUGGUUUCUAGGAUCGAUGUAAUGAUUAAUAGGGAUAGUUGGGGGCAUUAGUAUUCAAUUGUCAGAGGUGAAAUUCUUGGAUUUAUUGAAGACUAACUACUGCGAAAGCAUUUGCCAAGGAUGUUUUCAUUAAUCAAGAACGAAAGUUAGGGGAUCGAAGACGAUCAGAUACCGUCGUAGUCUUAACCAUAAACUAUGCCGACUAGGGAUCGGAUGAUGUUAAUUUUAUAAUGACUCAUUCGGCACCUUACGGGAAACCAAAGUGUUUGGGUUC
rnacentral:rRNA from 1 species